GUUGGUGACUAGAGCUGUGGGGGUACACCCGGCUCCAUUCCGAACCCGGAAGUUAAGCCCACAAGCGCAGAUGGUACUGCACUGGCGACGGUGUGGGAGAGUAUGCCGUUGCCAACA
rnacentral:rRNA from 1 species